UGCGAGGUGCUAACUUAGCUUGGUCGAGC
rnacentral:sRNA from 1 species